UUUUCGGUGAUGACACCAGGCCUGACUCAGAGGGGGAUCCCUGAUAAAGCAGUUUAUGCCAGCAUGUAUACCAAUAUAGGUGCUGAUGGAGUCGUGUUGACCCUGGCUGUUUCCCAUUGAACCAUAAACUUCAUGCAGCUGCAUUGAAUGAGGUGGAUUUCCUGAUAAUUGAGCUUUAAACAUUUCGCAUAUGGACCAGAGGUGAUAUUUGCUCUGCACUGGUGUGUUUACACAUCAAGACCAAAUGAGGGAGG